rnacentral:rRNA from 1 species
CCUACGGGAGGCAGCAGUAAGGAAUAUUGCGCAAUGGGCGACAGCCUGACGCAGCGACGCCGCGUGGGGGAUGAAGGUCUUCGGAUUGUAAACCCCUUUCGGCAGGGAAGAUGGAACGGGUAACCGUUCGGACGGUACCUGCAGAAGCAGCCACGGCUAACUUCGUGCCAGCAGCCGCGGUAAUACGAAGGUGGCAAGCGUUGUUCGGAUUUACUGGGCGUACAGGGAGCGUAGGCGGUUGGGUAAGCCCUCCGUGAAAUCUCCGGGCCUAACCCGGAAAGUGCGGAGGGGACUGCUCGGCUAGAGGAUGGGAGAGGAGCGCGGAAUUCCCGGUGUAGCGGUGAAAUGCGUAGAGAUCGGGAGGAAGGCCGGUGGCGAAGGCGGCGCUCUGGAACAUUUCUGACGCUGAGGCUCGAAAGCGUGGGGAGCAAACAGGAUUAGAUACCCUGGUAGUCCACGCCUUAAACGAUGAAUACUAAGUGUCGGCGGGUUACCGCCGGUGCCGCAGCUAACGCAUUAAGUAUUCCGCCUGGGAAGUACGGCCGCAAGGUUGAAACUC